rnacentral:rRNA from 1 species
GAACGAACGCUGGCGGCAGGCUUACCACAUGCAAGUCGAACGCCCCGCAAGGGGAGUGGCAGCCGGGGGAGUAACGCGUGGGAAUCUACCCAUCCCUACGGAAUAACGCAUGGAAACGGGUGCUAAUACCGGAUACGCCCUACGGGGGAAAGAUUUAUCGGGGAUGGAUGAGCCCGCGGUGGAUUAGCUAGUUGGUGGGGUAAAGGCCUACCAAGGCGACGAUCCAUAGCUGGUCUGAGAGGAUGAUCAGCCACAUUGGGACUGAGACACGGCCCAGACUCCUACGGGAGGCAGCAGUGGGGGAUAUUGGACAAUGGGCGCAAGCCUGAUCCAGCCAUGCCGCGUGAGUGAUGAAGGCCUUAGGGUUGUAAAGCUCUUUCACCGGAGAAGAUAAUGACGGUAUCCGGAGAAGAAGCCCCGGCUAACUUCGUG